ACAGCUCGACACAUGUCAACAUCAGAAGCCAAUCACAACACGACACGUGUCAAUGUUAGAACAAAACUAGAAACUCUCUUCUAUAAAUAGGGAUCAUUCUCCCACAAUAAUCUCUAAUGUCAUUUUAUACUAAACUAUUCACUAGAACUCACAAAAUGAGAGCUUGAACCUAUGUAUUUGUGUAAACCCUUCACAAUUAAUGAGAACUCCUCUACUCCGUGGACGUAGCCGAUCUGGGUGAACCACGUACAUCUUGUGUUUGCUUCCCUGUCC
rnacentral:lncRNA from 1 species